rnacentral:tRNA from 1 species
AAGUUCUUAGAGGGUUUCUCUGUAGUAUGUUUUCAAAACAUAUGCUUGUCUCAGCCAAAGAACU